AAGCAGGAUUUAUACCACAAUAUAGCUGUUCAGUGCCGUGUUGUCAUCCCCCCUGCUCAAAAUAAAGUGGUUUCUUAACUAUACCUGUCUGCUAUACUCCUGUAGCAGCCAGGAAUGCUUGGUCUCAUACAU
rnacentral:snoRNA from 1 species